GACGUUCCCUGACCUCUUGGGGCGGGAGAGGGCGAGUCAAACACAUUCAGAGUGCUUCUGCAUUAGAAUUACAGCUGUCGUGGCUCGGCAAAAUAAGAGCGUUUGUACUGCGGACAAGUUCGUGUUUCACCGUAAAUAAACGAUGAAACCAACAUGCCGCAGGCUUCUUGCAUUUCUAUUUCUUGCCUUAAAGGGCGAGCCCACAACUAUUCCUCGAAUUUACCAUCCACUCCAAGACAACCGAGAUUAUCUCCUUUGCGUUGCAAACUGCGAUUGUUUAACAAUGUUUGAUAUUUUCUUGAAUCCGACGAACUGCAAACCAGUGUGUACAUCACGUCAAGAACAAAACCUUCAACAAGAAUCCGUGACUGAACAACGUCCAACAUGUAAAGAUUAUUAGCGCCAGUGAUUGCUAGGCAUAAGUAUAGUCCUCAAUGGCCGUCGCCGCCACCUCGCGCCUUAAACCCAUCAUGUGUAUUGAAUUUCUGCCACACCAUUAGACUGUGCAACGACUCGUCUGCCGUUUGUCAACCCAGACGACGACCUUCUUCCACUCCAGUUGUGAGUCAAUGGGCUAAUGUUGGAUCUGCAUUAAAAGGGGAGAGGAGAUGUUUCGGUUUUUGCGUACACCGUCCAAGCAUAGCACACUUGGAAAUGCUCAAUGGUUGCAUACGUAGAUGAUUCUCUCACACGAUACUAGGGGAGGCAAUGGCCUAGUGCUGGACUGUUAAUCCAGAGACCCAGGUAAUGGGAAGCCCGGUUUGAAUCCCGCUACGACGGAUGGUAGAAAUUUGAUUUCAAUCAAAAAAAUCUGGGAUUAAGAAUCUAAUGAUGACCGCGAAUCGAUUGUCGGGAAAAAAAAAACCUUACCUGGUUCACGAAUGGCCUUUAGGAUUAGGAAAAUGCCAUCCUUACCUACAUGUGAUUCCAAAAAGGUGGUUUACCCAGAUGACCGCUGGUCAAUUCGGGAUUUGGCAUAUGUGCUGGCUGGCCAGCGCCACCCUCAUCCCAUGAAUAAAUAAAGGGGAAUAACCUCAGGCGCUGCAUCCCAGGUCAGAGCGAGGUUAUUUCUGCAGGGAGAUUUUGCGUCCUAAAAAAAGGUUUCCUGUGGUCGUGGUAGGUUCUUGUACGUGAAAAUUAAGCAGGAACUUGUUUGGCAGGUUAAUCGCAACACUGAAAGACAACAUGUCUUUACCAUAAGCCAUUGCCAAGGUACCAUGGAUAAAAUGUUUUGGCAAGGGAGAACAAAAAAAAGGCAACAAAUGAGAUAGUAGUUUAAGAAGGAUGCAAGUCACAAGAAGGAUUCCCAAGAUCAAUUAUUUUUCUAUUACAACAAAAUACUGCAGAUGUGUCAGUUCUGAAGAGGAGUUACUGAACAAGAUGUUAACUCAAUAUAGUCUGCACAGGUGCUGCCAGACUUGUGCAGUUCCUCCAGCCAUUUACUUUUGUCAUAGUUCUUCUCCAUUUAUAUAGUUACGAGUAGAAACUCAAGCAUCGCAGCGUUCAUGGGCCACAAGCCAAUGACUGAUUCAUAAUUUCAGAAAUUUGAUGGUUCUUCAAAAGGAAUGCACCAUCAAGCAACUCAGCCAAUCACUGAAGAAAAUGGACAGGAUCUGUCUCAAAAUCUAAGAACAGAUUGGAAGACUGAAUGACCGUACAGACCAUAACACAAAAAAGGAAACCAUCUCUGUUGUGGUCAUGUUCAGAAUGCUGACUGUAUCACUGGGCAAACUACAAACCAGAGGUUUGAAGUCCAUUCUCUUAAUUAUCAUUUGACAAUCUCGCCAAGACCUGCAGUAAAGAGCAAUUUAGGGAGUUCAACACAGACAGUCAGUCAGCCCACUGCACGUGCACCAAUAUUACACAAGCAAUCCGAUGUGACCCAGUACACUAGAUCUCACCCAGUUGUGACAACAUCUAUCAAAAAAAAAACUAGUAAUUCUUAUGUACCAUCUAAAAACGCAGUGCAUUUCAAAUUUGUGACAUGUUUCAAAAUUGUGAAAUGUUUCUCCAUGUGACCUUGAAUUUAUUCCCCCUAGUUAUUUUACACCUUUUCUCACCUAUAUUCAUUCAGCCCUUCAUGAAAAAUAUCGUGUAUACUAAUGUGCUAUUUAUAGUAACCUUGUGCAAUUCACACCUGUAAAUAAAACCAACAGCAUCACCCUCGCUUCUCCAGGCAAGAUCUAUUGCACAAAUGUGAAGUUGACAAUCGUGUACACAAGUUCAGGGACUAACUAAGGCCCCACAUGAGCAAUCUUACCCUUUAAAGCCCUGAAUAAAGCUUGUCCUGUUCA